AGCACACUACAGCUUAGGUCUUAUAAAGAGACACUCUUCUGCUCUUCCGCACUUUCAUUCAUUCAUGAACUUCUCUGAGUGGAAGGCAGUAUACGAACAAYCAAGCGAGCAAGUUGAAGGCAAGUUGCGGUAGACUGCAUUUCAGAGAUCUAAAGACAUUCCAGACGAGUUCAACCAACACACAUUCAAUUUACAUACUCCACAGAAACAUCCAAACAUGAAUGGAUCGAUACUUCCAAUCUGCCUGYCUCUAUGURUMGCUGGCUGGGCUGUAUCUGGCYCUUCUGUUGAAGGUGAGCUGURCUCAUGCCUGCCAUGCAUGUGUUCAUUAUGGAUUCAAAAUGAAAUGAAUACUGUACCUUGUUUUAUACACUCUAAAUUAGUCACUUCCCCCGACAUUAUGGUUUUUUAAACCAAGUCACAGUUUCACAGAGUAUUGGUGCUGAAACAGGGAUCAGUCAGUGAACGUUUCAAAGGGAAAUAUGAAAGUGGUGACAACUUGAUCUCACCAUUUAAUUUGGGCAUUUUAAUUCCAUAAAAUAAUUCCUAUAUUAAAGCGCAGUGAGUAUGUAUAGUAGUGUUUUGACCCAGACUGAUCUAAAACUAAGUGUAGUAACUUUGAUAUUUAAWAUUGUCUGGGGGCUCUGUUUAACUAUCUCUCUUCUUCCUGUUGUAUUCUCUCUUGCAGCUCAGAAGACCUCCCCUGUCUGUUACAUCUGUAACGAUAGUAAAUGCCCAACCGUUGAGACUGUUUAUGACCAUGUGACGGCUAGUUUGACCCUGUGGUCACGAGGUGAAAUGGCUGCCCUGCCUCCCUGCCCCAUCACCUCCCUCCGACCAUCUAAAAAAUGCUUGUUGUGUGUUAAGAGCCAGAAGGUCUACACUGCGUGUGACUCAGAGAUUCACAAGCCAGCCUUUGAGGGCCAAGGCAGCUCCAUGCCUGUCAUCAAAGCCAAUUGCACCGGCAUUGUUUCAACUGAUCAGACAGGCGGAGCUGGAGGUUUAGCUUGGCGUCCUGAUCCAAAUGCCUCUGCAAUGGCCCCUGAUGGCACUGGCAGGUUUUCCAAGGAAACAAGAAUCGCUAUUGUGUCAAUAACAAUUGUCUUCCUUGUCAUCGUCAUCAUCAUCCUCAUUGUUGUUUUGCGCAGAAGGACCAGAUCAAGACCUGAGCCCUAGGACCAUGCGUCAGGACUAUCGGGCA